AGUUUCAUCACUUAGUCCAAUGUAUCUUGCCUGAACCAUUUCUUAGAGUACUCCACAAGGGUUAAGCGUUAAACAGUUUUCCAUUACACCAUAAGAGCACAAGUCCACCUGCCAGAACUGGCCUCCACUGAGAUGCUUGUAAUCACUCUGCCGUUUGAGAUUUAAGAAUGGGAGACACUUUCAAAAGGGAGCAGAUGUGUGAAGGUUCAUUGCAGAAAGCAGGCAAUACAUCAGCACUGAGAUUUGUUCAGUCAUGGCUAAAGCUGUGUUUGGCGAGGGCAGCAUUCUCACUCACAGCAAAGGUCAAGAUCAACUUAACACGCCGCAGCACUUCCAUCAGUGGCUAUAACACAGUGUUCUACUUAGCCCUUUUGGAUUGUUCUCAUACUGUUAAGGUGAAAUGCCUUAGCCGGUGCUGCUCAUACAACCAGCUUAAGUGACGUGUGGCCGAAACUAACUACGUCAUCAGUACUGGGUUAAAAAUCAAGUAUAGUGGUAAGUAUAGUGUGCAUGCAGAAGUUUGAGACUUCUCUCUUUUUUUAAUGGGAGAGAGAAAAUGCUAUAAAUAAAAUUCCAUUUACUUUUGGGAA